CUGGCCCCUUCCCUGACCAGCCUGCGGGAGACUAAUGAAUCGUUCCUAGCCGGGCCGCACAGGGCCGGGCUCGCCUCGGCCUGGCCGCUGCCGGGUGCCGCCCCUGCCCGCCCCCGCCCCGUGUAAUCUGACACAGCGCUGCAGUCCUCUCUCGGCCUCCGCUCCUCCGCUCGGGCUGGGCCUGCGGGCCCUCGUCCCAGGACAAUGAACUGAAGAUGCUGCUGGCCGGAGAGAGCGCGGCCUGAGGCCCAGGUGCAGGCCUUCCUCGAGGCCUUCCUCCUGCAGCAUGACCAGGUAAAGACGGAGCAUGCCCAGCCCAGCCACAGGCUCACCGUGGUGAACGGACAGCUCGAUUUGGCGUGAAGCAGAAACACCAGCCCCACGCCAAGCUGGAG
rnacentral:lncRNA from 1 species